rnacentral:miRNA from 1 species
AACUAAGUUUGUUUUUGGUAUAAGCCUUUGUGUGCAUGCACACUUCUUCAGAUACCAUGCAUGCACGCUUCUUCAGGUAUCUGAAGAAGUGUGUAUACACAUGAAAACUCAUACCAAGAACAAACUUAGUUGG